rnacentral:hammerhead_ribozyme from 1 species
AUCCAACUAACGAGUCUCAAACGGGACGAAACGCACGUCUUGGAU